CAUGCAAGUCGAGGGGCAGCAUGAUUGAAGCUUGCUUCAAUUGAUGGCGACCGGCGCACGGGUGAGUAACGCGUAUCCAACCUUCCGCUUACUCGGGGAUAGCCUUUCGAAAGAAAGAUUAAUACCCGAUGGUAUGAUGAGAUUGCAUGAUAGCAUCAUUAAAGAUUUAUUGGUAAGCGAUGGGGAUGCGUUCCAUUAGGUAGUAGGCGGGGUAACGGCCCACCUAGCCGACGACGGAUAGGGGUUCUGAGAGGAAGGUCCCCCACAUUGGAACUGAGACACGGUCCAAACUCCUACGGGAGGCAGCAGUGAGGAAUAUUGGUCAAUGGACGAGAGUCUGAACCAGCCAAGUAGCGUGAAGGAUGAAGGUCCUACGGAUUGUAAACUUCUUUUAUAAGGGAAUAAAACCUCCCACGUGUGGGAGCUUGUAUGUACCUUAUGAAUAAGCAUCGGCUAACUCCGUGCCAGCAGCCGCGGUAAUACGGAGGAUGCGAGCGUUAUCCGGAUUUAUUGGGUUUAAAGGGAGCGCAGACGGGUCGUUAAGUCAGCUGUGAAAGUUUGGGGCCCGACCUUAAAAUUGCAGUUGAUACUGGCGUCCUUGAGUGCGGUUGAGGUGUGCGGAAUUCGUGGUGUAGCGGUGAAAUGCUUAGAUAUCACGAAGAACUCCGAUUGCGAAGGCAGCACACUAAGCCGUAACUGACGUUCAUGCUCGAAAGUGUGGGUAUCAAACAGGAUUAGAUACCCUGG
rnacentral:rRNA from 1 species